rnacentral:RNase_P_RNA from 14 species
AACAGUGGCAUUCCUACUACAAACCUGUUUGCACAAGGAGCGGUCGGCGUCAGUCGCACCCUGCUCAGAAAUACAGGUGGGAAAUUCGGUGAAACGCGGCGGAGCAACUAUUUCCGAGGGCCGUUCUCGGUCCUGAUUUCCGUGAGGAAAGCGUUUGGAAUUUAAACGCUUGGACGUUGUCAUCAGAAAUACACCAGUCUCUUGGCUGGAUGGGAAGGCAGCGGAUGCUCCGUUUGACUGUGUUUAGCUUCGGCGACACAGGUCUGUUGAGUGCAAUCGUAGGACACUUCUUAUGAGGUGAACCCGAUACCGAUUAUUGCCGGUGUU